CACUCAGCACAGCAUUUUCACAUUGGUACUACCCACACUGGUACAGACAGUUUUAGUACAUAUACAGUAUACAAGUUUAAAACCAACCCUUGUUUGCGAGGUUGGUUCAAAUCGCGGAAUAUAUAACGUUGGCAGACUUGGCAGUCAUCAUACGCCAAAGGGUUCCAACUAUUUAGAUAUAAAAAUAGUCAUGUCCAAAAAUUAAAAUAAAAACAAAUGCCAGCCAUAUAUAUUUUCAAUCACUCAAAAACUUUAAUCAGAAUGCCUACAUUUUUAAAGUGCCACUGCGAUGGAAAAUUUUGCUGUCUUUUUAUUGUAUAUUCAGAAAGUAUAUCAGUAGAUAAACAAAGUUACCAAAUAUCAGCGUAUUUCUUUCUGCCUUUUUUUUCAACGCAAACAUGCAAA